rnacentral:rRNA from 1 species
UACGGAGGGUGCAAGCGUUAUCCGGAAUUACUGGGUUUAAAGGGUGCGUAGGCGGACGCAUAAGUCAGAGGUGAAAUACUUGAGCUUAACUGAAGGCUUGCCUUUGAUACUGUGCGUCUUGAAUUAUGUUGAGGUUAGCGGAAUGUGACAUGUAGCGGUGAAAUGCAUAGAUAUGUCAUAGAACACCAAUUGCGAAGGCAGCUAACUAGGCAUAUAUUGACGCUGAGGCACGAAAGCGUGGGGAGCGAACAGG